CAUGAGCCACUGACCCUAGUCAAGCCAAUAUUUUUCAAACUGUGAGUUUGAAAUUGGUCAUCAAAUCAACUUAAUGGAUCACAACCAACAUUUUAAAAAAUAAAAUACACUAGAACUGAAGAUAUCACAAUUCCUUGAACAUAGUAAGGGCAAGUAUUAUUCUGUAAAACUUAUCUUGGUCAAUAUACAGUAUCUAGCAAUCAGGUGGCAAGACAAAAUGUAUUCCUCAUUGGGGUUUAUUGUACACAUUUUUGGAAAAGCAUUGUGUUAGGCCAGAGAUUGGCAAACGUUUCCUGUAAAGAGUCCAGUGGUAAAUAUUUUAGGCUUUGUAGGACAUAAAAACUAUUGAACUCUGAUUUUGUAGUGUGAAAGUAGCCACAGACAUUAUGUGCACAAAUAAGCAGGGCCAUGUUAUAAUAAAACUUUAUUAACAAAAUCAGGUUGUGGGGCUAGAUUUGGCCUGUGGGUGGUAGUUUGCCAAGCCCUGCGCUAGACUGUUGUCUAGCCUGUGACUAUGUUUCAUAUGUGUAAAUUCCCUUUAUACAGGAGCUAUGUCUUUUUCAUCUCUGAAUCUUAACCAUGAGUGUGUCAUCCCAGCAUCUAACCCAUUGAUUAAAUAUAACAAAUGUUCAUGAAAUGUUUGCCAAUAUAUUCAAUGAACAUUUAUUGACUCCUUAACUCCAAACAGCUUGGCACCAAAUCCAUCAGUAUUUGUUGAAUGAAUGUAAGAGCCAUGUCUUAGUCUGUCUGGGCUGCCAUAACAAAAUAUCUUAGACUGGAUAAUUCAGAAAUUUAUUGCUGACAGCUCUGCAGGCUGGGAAGUCCAAGAUCUAGGUGUCAGCAGAUCAGUGUCUGAUGAGGGCUUUAUAGAUGGUGACUUUUGCUGCAUUCUCACACAGCGGAAGGGGCAAGGGAGCUCCCUCACACCUCCUACGUAAGGGCACUGAUCCUAUUCACGUGGGCAGAGUCCUCAUGACUUAAUCACUUCCCAGAGGAACCACCUCUUAAUACUAUCACAUUGGGUAUUAGGUUCCAACAUAUGAACCUAAUAAUAUGUUUAGGAAGACACCAACAUUCAGACCAUGGCAAGCCAUUAGUCUCAAAUUCUCAAAAGCCUUUGCCCCUCCUCCAACCCUUCUGAAGAUCAGGACUCAGAGCUCAAAGGUGUCCUUGCCCCAGCCGCUUGGGUCACUUGCUGCCAGGGGCCAGAAGGGGUGGUGGGAAGGUGAUGGGAACAACAGGGUUUGAUGGACUGUUUGGGGAACUGUCUAAUUAUCCUGCUUAUCAGUGCUGGUUCCUUUUCUUAGCUCUUUCCCUUAAUAAAUGAAAACUCCUUCUGUUGUUAUUGAGCUCCCGGGUCACUGAUUCUUUUGAGUCAUAUAAACCACAUGUUUAUAGAGUUACAGUGUGACCGUGAAAUUGAAUGGAGGGGAAGGGAGGCACCAGAGAAGUGUCAGCCUUGAAAGGCAACACUUUCUCUUCCCAGGCUUCUGCUCAUUGUGUAGGGCAAAGGACAGGGCUUUCCGCUGUCCAGGGCCCUGGCCUAGGCGGGGAGGGGAGCUGAGGUCACUGGGUACAGCUUGUGCGUCCACAGAGCUUACAGCCUGGUUGGGGAGGGAGAUGGCCAGGCUCAGAGUUGAAGAUGACCUAGAUCAUGCGUCAACAAACUAUGGCCUGAGGGCCAAAGCCAGCGCACCACCCGUUUUUGUACAGCCCAUGGGUUAAGAAGAGUUUUCAAAAUUUUAAACAGCAGUCUCCCCUUAUCCAUGGUUUCACCUUCUGUGGUUUCAGUUACUUGCAGUCAACCAUGGCCCAAAAAUAGCUACGAUCAGUGACCAUGGACUCAUAAGGCUUUUGUUUAAGAAUUGCCUAAGAUGUUCUUCAGAUCCUGAAUUCCAGCAGGAAAGCUAAUGCCAACCAGUUUGAAAACAACCACAGAGGAAUCGAAUCAGCACGAGAAUGCAGUUUCUUCAUUUCCCUGUCCCAUGACUUUACUCUGCACUCUUUGACCAAUCAAUAAUCCUGGACCUUGGCCCACUUCAAACCCCUUGAAAUCUCUAGCUCCAACUCCCUGGAGGGGUGGAUUUGAGGUUUCCUCCUGUUUCCUUGUUUGGCUGCCGUAUGAUUAUUAAACUCUUUCUUUGCUGCAAUCCCUGUUGCCUUGGUUUAUUGACUUACUGUGCAUCGGGCAAACAAACCUAUUAUGAUGACAUCAUGACGCAAUAUCCACCUCAAAGGACUGCUGGGAGCCUCAAAAAUUUACAAAUUUGUGAAUUGUAUGUGACUGUCUGAUGCCGGGGAGCAGCAAGGAGCUUUUGGUGAUUGGAGUGCGGUUUAAGUGACUGGCACUGGUGGUUACUGCUGGCCCCAGGGAGUGUGAGGCUAGCAGGAUGACCCAGAUUUCCCAAACCAGGCCAGGGCUCUUUCCAGUGAACCAAGGAUGAUGUGAAGAUGCAGGAGGUGGCAGAGGAAGAUCUCAGAAUAUCACUUAGGAAGACUAGACAGCACUUCAGCACUACACUUCGAGGGCAUUUUAAACAGUGAAAUCAUCAACAAAAAGCACAAAAAUGCAUAAGUGUGGCACCAAAUAGACUGCAAGAAGGACACUUGUUUACGGUUUGAGAGCUGAAACCAGGAGACAGAGUGUUAUCUUAUUUGACUCAAAUUUUUCACCACUCUGAGCAGGUCCGUGAAUGGCCACAAAACUGCUGCGAGAUUUCAUUUUGGGGCUACAAAGGAAUUUUUGCAAGUAGAUGAAUUGGCAAACAUGGAGUCUGUGAAUGAUGAGGAUGGACUGUGUAUGUUGCAUUUGUGGAGAGGACAACUUCAUUGCAGAGGAUGUGUAAAGGGAGCACAGUGCCUAAAGUCUUCAUUAAGGUGUAGGGGACUGAUGUAUCCCCUCCCGAGGGCCCACUGUGCUCAAGAGAAGCAGAGAAUACGCCGGGAGCGGUGGCUCACGCCUGUAAUCCCAGCACUUUGGGAGGCUGAGGCAGGUGGAUCACGAGGUC
rnacentral:lncRNA from 1 species